GGGACGCCUCAGAGGAGAAGGGCGUUGGAGAAUAAGCAUGGCCUCCCUGAGAGACGGGAGAAAUUCCUAAGAAGAGGCAAAAGCCUGGGAGAAGGACAAGAAGAUUCUGCCUCUGUGACACUGACUGGGAUGUUAGACUACUGCAGAGAAACUAGUGAUAUUCCACUCACACCCUAAAGAUGGGAACACCGGA
rnacentral:lncRNA from 14 species